CCCCCCCCCUUCUUUUGUGUCGAGGGAUUGCGCGAGAGUGGUUGAGAUUAUAAAGCCAAUGUGAGCGAAUGUACUGGAUAUUUCUGGAUCGCUGGAAAUACAACUGAAUGGCGCCAUUUGUCCCCAUGUAACCUGGCAUUAAAGUGCCUGAGGCUGGACGGAGUCAUUGCGUAUUGCUAAAGGUACACAUGGAAAAUACCCACAAGGGCAAUAAAAUCAAGCUAUAAAGGCAUAACUUGCAGAAAAGGGUUGACAACGACAUCCGUGGCACGAUCCUCUACCGAUCUCUCCAAUUUCUUGGCUUCACGGAUGACAUCGACAUCAUCGGCAGGACAACAGCGAAGGUGUGUGAGGCGUACACCCGACUCAAACGCGAAGCAGCAAGAAUUGGAUUGAGAAUCAAUGCGACGAAGACGAAGUACCUGCUUGCCGGUGACUCAGACCAUCUGGGAAGCAGUGUAUUAGUUGACGGCGACAGUCUCGAGGUGGUAAAGGAGUUUUGCUAUCUCGCCACGAUCGUUACUUUGGAAACGACAUCAGCAGCGAAAUUGUGCAGGUGAAUCGUGCAUACUAUGGGCUUCACCGACUGCUGAGAUCCAGAAGACUUCGAGCCCGCACGAAAUGUGAGAUAUAUCGCACAUUGAUUCGCCCGGUGGUCCUCUACGGACACGAGCCCUGGACCAUUCGAGCGGAGGAUGCAAACGUGCUGGGCGUGUUUGAGCGACGCAUACUCCGGAUCAUCUUUGGCGGUGUGUUCGAGCAUGGAGCGUGGAGGAGAAGGAUAAACCACGUGCUUGCUAAGCUGUACGGCGAACCGAGCAUCCUGACGGUGGCGAAGGCUGGCAGGAUUCGAUGGCUGGGGCAUGUCAUGAGAAUGCCGGACUCAUGUCCCACCAGGAAGGUGUUCAACAGCGAUCCCCAGUUCGGCAUAAGGCGCAGGGGAGCACAGCGAACUCGAUGGCUGGAUCAGGUGAAGCGAGACCUGUCGGAAAUCGUGUGUCUACAUGGAUGGGACAUGGCUGCAGCCAGGGACCGAGAAUCCUUGACAAUUAUUGUUGACCGGGCCAUGUCACAUCGACGUGCUCUAUCGUGAGCAGGCCAACAAGAGAGAGAGAGAGAGAGAGAGAGAGAGAGAGAGAGAGAGAGAGAGAGAAAUAGAGAGAGAAAUAGAGAGAAAAAAAGGGUUCACAAUAGGGAAGAAAGGCUCAUCACCAAAACCCAGUUCCUUCAAGUAGGAAAUGAAUCAUUGCAAUGAGUAAUAUGUGCAGUGAUGAUUCUACAACCUAGACAGUAGCUUUACCCACCCACCUCCUACCAGACUUUGUGUGUAUGUGCAAAUAAAACAAUUCCUUCGGCUUGGUUUGAUAUGGGACCAGAGUAAACCAUCUUAA